CUCUUGGGGCUUCGGUUUCAAGGGAGUGGCGCACGGGUGAGUAGCGCGUGGGAACCUGCCCUGUUGUGGGGGAUAACCGAGGGAAACUUCGGCUAAUACCGCAUACGCCGGUUGUCUUGAGAGAGAUGGCCGGGAAAGAUUGAUCGCAGCAGGAGGGGCCCGCGUCGGAUUAGGUAGUUGGUGGGGUAACGGCCUACCAAGCCUGUGAUCCGUAGCUGGUCUGAGAGGAUGAUCAGCCACACUGGGGCUGAGACACGGCCCAGACUCCUACGGGAGGCAGCAGUGGGGAAUAUUGGACAAUGGGCGCAAGCCUGAUCCAGCAAUGCCGCGUGAGUGAUGAAGGCCUUCGGG
rnacentral:rRNA from 1 species